rnacentral:ncRNA from 1 species
GAGAGCACAGUACGAUGAAAGUUGUAAGCUGUGUUCGGGGGGAGUUAUUGUCUAUCGUCGGCCUCUAU